rnacentral:rRNA from 1 species
AUUCCUACGGGAGGCAGCAGUGGGGAAUAUUGCACAAUGGGGGGAACCCUGAUGCAGCGACGCCGCGUGAGUGAAGAAGUAUUUCGGUAUGUAAAGCUCUGUCAGCAGGGAAGAAGAAAGACGGUACCUGACCAAGAAGCCCCGGCUAACUACGUGCCAGCAGCCGCGGUAAUACGUAGGGGGCAAGCGUUAUCCGGAUUUACUGGGUGUAAAGGGAGCGUAGACGGCAGCGCAAGUCUGUAGUGAAAUGCCGGGGCUCAACCCCGGAACUGCUUUGGAAACUGUGCAGCUAGAGUGCGGGAGAG